rnacentral:lncRNA from 1 species
GUGGGUUAUUGGUCUUGCUGACUUCGAGAACGAAGCCACCGACCCUCACAGAGUGUUACAGUUCCUAAAGAUGGUGGGCCCGGAGUUUGUUCCUUCCAAUGUUCACGUGUCCACAGUUUUUUCCUUCCCGUGGGUUCGUGGUCUCGCUUGACUUCAGGAUUGAAGCCUCCGACCUUCACAGACUCUCAAUAAGGGUGUCUCAUUUACCUAGACUGCAGUUUUCAACUCCUCGUGAAACUGGAGUGCAUGAACGCUGGAAGCAGCCAGCUGUUUCAACGCCAGCAGGGCCGAACUCCACUCACUGGGACCUGCUGCACAGGAUGCAUAUCCUCCAAGUUGACAGUCCCUAAAGCAACCCAACUUUCCUUUUUCUAUGUUCAUUGCCUAAUUUUUUAGGCUAUUUCAUAAGUAUCCUUGUGAAUUCACUAUCAACAUUCAGUAUCAGUGUGACCUGCACUCCACUGCACUCCAGCCUGGACAACAAAGUGAGACCCUGUCUCUAAAAGAAAAAGAAAAUUGGAAUCCAUAUGAGUACUAGUUCUUUGUGAAAUUAAUAUGGUGAGGAAAAAUAUCUUUCUCCCAAAAGGUAAUUUUAUACCAAAUUAUAUGCAACUGUAGAGUAAAAUAUUUGUUUUGUUUCAAAUUAUAUUCACAAAUUUUUUGAUGUAUAUUUGGUAAGUUUUAAAAUUGACAAUCACUCUUAACUCUGUAUGAAUGAGCUGCAUGAUUAUAUGAUAAUUAAACAGAAAAGUACAGCAAAGUUUCUAAAUAAUACUGACUAAAGAAUUAUGUUAUUUUAAUGAUAUGUAACACAAUCAAAUUAUAUCACACAUUAUAUAAUGAAUAUAAAAUAUAUUAUUUUCUCUAACAUAGAGAAAUCACAUAAUUUCUACCACCAAUUAUUUUACAAAUGUAAGUACAUUUUUUUCUUCAAUCCAUGUAAAGAAAAUUGAAAAUUGCUCAUCACCAAAUAUAAGGAUGACCUUUCCAGUAUAACAUAAGAGUUUUGUUUUUGCUUCUGUUCAUUGUCAAUCUUUACUUUGAUUUUAUUAAAAAUACAUUAAAAUAUUUUUUGGCCAAUUUUACUAAUGAUAGUAAAGCCCAUUGAUAUUUUUACCAAUACAAAUUACUUGCUUUAUAUGUUGCUUGCUCUACUUCCAUUUCCUUUCAGGUUCUCACUCAUUUUGUAUUUCAAAUGAUUUUGUAUCUCAGAAUCCUAAGGAUUUGUGUCUCAAAUCCUAAUUUACAGAUAGUAUCUUAAUUAUUUUGAUUGCAUGUCCUGAUGAAAUCCUGUGUGAAUUCACUUCAUGGAUAUAUAAGUACUCCUCUCUUAAUACUACAUUAGUUAUAAAAUUUAAUCUGCUUAGAAACAUCUUCUUGUUACCCAAGAAUAAAAAUUUUCUUCAAAAAUUACAUAUAUCUUAAUAAUGGCAUGGUUCUAGUAUCAAAAGUCUUUAGCCUACAACAUUGGCAAAAUCUGAGACCAUCUAUUUCUUGAAACACAGUCCGGUGCAUUCUAUAAUUUGGAUACAGACCAGGUUUACAUAAUCAUGCUGAUGAAGCCAUUCCAGAGAGACUAAUGAAUAAAACGAGAGUAUGUUUUCCUUUCCAGAUCAAGAGACAAUUCUGCUGAUAAAAUCCUGGUAAUUGUCAGAUUGAAUCAGAUCCAUUGUCUUCCAGACCAAUGUCUCAUAUAAUAUUUUUCGCUGUAAUUUCAUUUGACAUAAACUGUAACUGUUUGGGAUGAGACUAAGAUAUGAUAACCUGGGUUCAAAUAUCAUAUGGGUUUCAUUGCUUCAAACGUCUUAUCCACUAUUAAAAAGUGUAUGAAAUAGUUUCUGUUAACUCUAAUUUUGACAAUGUAAUGCUGCAAAGACUUGCUCUGUUAAUUUUUAUUCUUUGUUGUUUUAUAUUUUAUUUAUAUACAUUGUCAUUGUUUACAUUUUCUUCAGAACUCUUUAGACUUCCCCAAAAAUGGCAGCAUUCUUACCCUUGAAUCAAUUUUAUCUCUUUUUUAAAUACAAUAAUUUAAUUGAAUGUUUUUUGAGAAUGAGAAUUUUAACUUGAGACAUAGGCAGAUCAGUAUAUAUAUAUAAACUUAGUAAUGUAUAAAUAUAAUAUGUAUUGGUAUCUAUAUAGUUAUAGUGGUUAUUUAUUAGCUGAAUUUUAUUUAUAGUGUCUUCACUUUUUCUAUAGCUUCACUAAAUUUGUCUACUUUUUCUGUCAAUCGCUGUAUAAGGUGUGCUAAAACCACCCAAUAAGAUGGUGGAUUAGCCAAUAAUUCCUUGUAUUUUCAUCUUUCUUUACAUAUUUUGAAACUAUAGUGUUAGAUACAUGAAAUUUGGAAUGUUUUUAAAAUCUGGCAUAUUGAAUUUUCAGUUCGAGAUAUUUUAAUACUCUUUAUACUAGUAUUUUGUUUGCUUUCUUGCUAUUUAGCUAUUAUUAACUGCCUGAUAAUUUUUUUUCUGUGUAUAUUCCAUCUUUAAUUUUUAAAUUUUGGUUGUAUUAUCUUCUGGGUGUGUUGUUUGUCUCUACUGUGAAUGACAUAUAAAUACACCCUUUUAGAUCACACACACACACACACACACACACACACGAUAGCUAAUGUAGCAAAUUCAGCAUCAGAAGACAUGCACUACCACUAUAAUAUAUCGAUAAAAACUAAAAGUUUCUUUGCUGGAUACAGGGAAUGAAAUACCCACUCUCCAAACCCAGCUUCGAAGAAACCCUCAGUGACUGACUUUGCAAAGUGGUUGUCUGUGUACUCCAGCCCCCUCAGCCCUUUAGGAGCAAAUUCUGAUAUGUAUGUUUUGCAUAGUUUCCCAAAGGUUUCCUUUAGAAUUAACUUGACAUCUAUAAGAGCAAUUAAAUGCAUCUUUUUAUUGGCUUCUUUCUCAUUCCAUACUUUCCUACUUGUAUUCAUGCAAACACCAAAUAAAUUACAUGUACUCAAAUCCUUUUCUCAUGGUCUGCUUCUGAGAAAACCCAACAGAAAAUUCGAAAGUUCCAAUGUUUUUGUUACCUAGGAAAUAUAUUCAUAUUUAUAUGUAUUGAGUUUUUGAUAUGAUAGAAUUUAUUUUGACCAUCUCAUUUUGCCUUUUUUAUGUUCUCUAUAUUUAUAAUUUUCUUUAUAGCUUGGAGUACAUACUGGGACGACAUUUAUUAUUUCAGAACUUACUUUUAUCUUUACUUCAUUCUACCCAAAGGAAAGAAAAGGAAGCCUGAAGUUAAUUUUAGAGAGAAAAUGCAUUUGCAAUACAAAGAGGAUAAAAAAAUCUAUAUAUGUUAAAUACACUAGAGCAAGCAUUUAAAAACAAUUCUAGAGUAUGAUUUCAAAUUACCUGUCCAAGAGACAGGAAAAUAGUUGUAAAUCACGGAGGAAUAUUUGAUACUCAGGCAUGUGCUUUGAUCAUUAAAAAAAGAGUUGCAAUAUCAGAAUAUUAUUUAUUUUGUAACUUUGAAAGGGGAACAAAUUAUAAAAAUCUAGUAAGUAUAACAACAGCAACUACCAUUGAUCAAGUGCUUACAAUGGCAAAGGCAUAGUGCUCAGAACUUUUCAUGCAUUCCCUCCUUCACUUUUCAUCAUAGCCCUGGGGAGUUGCACUGAUAUCUCUGUUUUGCAGAUGAGGAAUCUGAAGUUUCAAUAGAUUCAGUAAGUUGACCAUGUGAUAGAAAGUGCCCACAUUACUCUGAUAUGAAUUAAAUAAAUCGUAGAAAUAUUUAAGCAUUCUGGAAGAGGAUGAACUUGAAAAUAUUUUUUCUGAGGCAAACAGUUAUGAAUGUUUUGAAGUGUUUAAUAAUUCUCUUCUGCAGUGUAUUGCUGUAUGUCAUAUAAUACUGUAAUAAAGAUCCUGUAAUUUUAAAAAUCAUGUGCUAUCUAAACUUUCUGAAUAAUAUAAAAUUUCAAAAAAUAUUUUCUCUUCAUAGAUAUUUCCCUCAAUUGAAGGUCCAGAUCUGUUUUUCAUACAUACAUGUAUUUUUCACGUAUGUAUAUAUUUUACACAUGUAUGUGUAAAAAUUUA